AGCCUUCACUUUUUCCACUUCAUCGUCAAUCAGUCUCUUGAUACUCUCUUGAAAAUGAAGAGGAAGUUCCUUGGCGUAACUUUCUGAAAGCUUAAAAUACAAGACAAAACUCAUCCCUUCACCAUCAGUUUCACUUUGAAAAAUUGCAGUUGAAUAUAAUGGGAUCUGAACAUUCACAACAAGGAUGGGAGGAAGUGUUCCAGAUUGUUCAAUGAAAGGAAGUUCCACAAGUCGGGCAAUAUGAAAUAUUUUUCUCUGGCUUAAAAAUACAUCAACUCCAAAAGGAUAAUAUGCUGCAUAAUUUGGAGCAAACACCUUCUUU
rnacentral:misc_RNA from 1 species